GGACUACUCGGGUUUCUAAUCCCGUUUGCUCCCCUGGCUUUCGCGCAUCAGCGUCAGUGUCAGCCCAGCAACCCGUCUUCACCUCAGGUGUUCCUCUUGAUAUCUACGCAUUUCACCGCUACACCAAGAAUUCCGAUUGCCCCUUCUGCACUCUAGCAUUGCAGUAUCACUUGGCCGUUCCGAGUUAAGCCCGGAGAUUUCACAAGUGACUUACAAAGCCGCCUACGCGCCCUUUACGCCCAGUAAAUCCGAACAACGCUUGGUCCCUACGUAUUACCGCGGCUGCUGGCAC
rnacentral:rRNA from 1 species